rnacentral:rRNA from 1 species
UACGUAGGGGGCAAGCGUUGUCCGGAAUCAUUGGGCGUAAAGAGCGCGUAGGCGGUCCGGUAAGUCGGUUGUGAAAACUGGGGGCUCAACCCUCAGAGGCCGACCGAUACUGCCGGGCUAGAGUCCGGAAGAGGCGAGUGGAAUUCCUGGUGUAGCGGUGAAAUGCGCAGAUAUCAGGAGGAACACCAAUGGCGAAGGCAGCUCGCUGGGACAGUACUGACGCUGAGGCGCGAAAGCGUGGGGAGCAAACAGG